rnacentral:rRNA from 1 species
AACCUGCGGAAGGAUCAUUACCGAGUGUAGGGUUCCUAGCGAGCCCAACCUCCCACCCGUGUUUACUGUACCUUAGUUGCUUCGGCGGGCCCGCCAUUCAUGGCCGCCGGGGGCUCUCAGCCCCGGGCCCGCGCCCGCCGGAGACACCACGAACUCUGUCUGAUCUAGUGAAGUCUGAGUUGAUUGUAUCGCAAUCAGUUAAAACUUUCAACAAUGGAUCUCUUGGUUCCGGCAUCGAUGAAGAACGCAGCGAAAUGCGAUAACUAGUGUGAAUUGCAGAAUUCCGUGAAUCAUCGAGUCUUUGAACGCACAUUGCGCCCCCUGGUAUUCCGGGGGGCAUGCCUGUCCGAGCGUCAUUGCUGCCCAUCAAGCACGGCUUGUGUGUUGGGUCGUCGUCCCCUCUCCGGGGGGGACGGGCCCCAAAGGCAGCGGCGGCACCGCGUCCGAUCCUCGAGCGUAUGGGGCUUUGUCACCCGCUCUGUAGGCCCGGCCGGCGCUUGCCGAACGCAAAUCAAUCUUUUUCCAGGUUGACCUCGGAUCAGGUAGAGGAUACCCGCUGAACUUAAGCAUAUCAAUAAGCCGGAGGAA